rnacentral:rRNA from 1 species
UACGAGGGGGGCAAGUGUUGUUCGGAUUUACUGGGUGUAAAGGGAGUGUAGGCGGCUCGGUAGGUCAGAGGUGAAAUGUCCACGCUUAACGUGGUCACUGCCUUUGAAACCACCGGGCUUGAAUGUUGGAGAGGGUAACGGAAUUUCAGGUGUAGCGGUGGAAUGCGUAGAUAUCUGAAAGAACACCAGUUGCGAAGGCGGUUACCUGGCCAAACAUUGACGCUGAGGCUCGAAAGCCGGGGGAG